rnacentral:rRNA from 1 species
UACGUAGGGUGCGAGCGUUGUCCGGAUUUAUUGGGCGUAAAGAGCUCGUAGGCGGUUUGUUGCGUCGGCUGUGAAAUACCGAGGCUCAACCUCGGGUCUGCAGUCGAUACGAGCAAACUAGAGUGUUGCAGGGGAGACUGGAAUUCCUGGUGUAGCGGUGAAAUGCGUAGAUAUCUGGAGGAACACCGGUGGCGAAGGCGGCAUCCUGGACCAACACUGACACUGAGGAGCGAAAGCCAGGGGAGCAAACGGG